rnacentral:lncRNA from 1 species
UUAGUUCUUUCAUGUGGUAUCAGAGCAUGCUUCAUUUUUACCCAAUUGCAUGUGGUGGGUUCAUAUUCAUAUUUAUUAGAUAAAUUUUGGUUUGAACUAAAAUGGAUAUAUUAUGAUUUUGGCUCUAGAUUAAGUGUUUUUGUUCUAUUAUUGUAAUUAGCCUUGUUAAUGGCUUAUUUUUAUUGUUGCAAAGUGUUUGUAAUUUUUUUAAAAUAAAAAAAAGUCAUUAGAGUUGAAGUUAGGCUGUAACUGGUUCAACCGGGUGAGAGAAUUGAAAAAAAUGAAGAAAAGAAGGUCACAGACCCGAAAACCCGGCCUUGACCCGCUUCGCGACCCGCCUGCGCCCGACCCGUGUGCGCCUGGGCCUGUUUAGUUAAUUGGGCCGGUUCAAGCCAAUAAAUUUGGUUUUUGGGCCGGUUCAAGCUGUUUCGGUUGGUUUUUCAGUCGGUUCGAAGUUUUUGGGAGUGGUUCUGUACUACACCAAAUUAAUUAUGUAAUAAUUUAGUACUUAGCUUAAUUUAGGAGCCAAAAAUUAGUCCAUUUUAGGGUGUUUUUUUUAUUUAUGCAUGUGAUGUAUGAUUAAAUUACUUUAAAUUUGUAUGUGCAUUUUGAAUGUCAUAUAGAUUUAAAAUCCCACCAUAGGUUAACAUGUUCAUGCAUUAAAAUGUAUGAUAUAAAGGUUAUAU